GGCCCGAUGGCGCAGUGGCAAGCGCGUCCACUUCGAUAGCGUCAGGAAGCCUUGCUCCUGUUCGACUCAGGAUCGGGCCG